GCUUAGCCCUAAACACAGAUAGUACAAACACACUACUAUCCGCCAGAGAACUACAAGCGAAAAGCUUAAAACUCCAAGGACUUGGCGGUGCUUCAAACCAACCUAGAGGAGCCUGUCCUAUAAUCGAUACCCCACGUUCUACCUUACCCUCCCUUGAAACCCAGCUUAUAUACCGCCGUCGCCAGCCUACCUUAUGAAAGAAACAAAGUAGGCAAAAUAAUUAAUAAUUAACACGUCAGGUCAAGGUGUAGCAUACGAGAGGGCAGAGAUGGGCUACAUUUUAUCCAAGAUUACACACGAAUGGCAUACUGAAAUACAUGCCUAAAGGUGGAUUUAGCAGUAAGAUAAACAAGAAAGGCUAUCUUAAACCCGCUCUGAAGCGCGC
rnacentral:rRNA from 1 species